UGCCUAAUACAUGCAAGUCGAGCGGACUUGAGGGAGCUUGCUCCCGAUGGUCAGCGGCGGACGGGUGAGUAACACGUGGGCAACCUGCCUGUAAGACUGGGAUAACUCCGGGAAACCGGGGCUAAUACCGGAUAAUUCAUUCCCUCACAUGAGGGAAUGCUGAAAGACGGCCUCUCGCUGUCACUUACAGAUGGGCCCGCGGCGCAUUAGCUAGUUGGUGAGGUAAUGGCUCACCAAGGCAACGAUGCGUAGCCGACCUGAGAGGGUGAUCGGCCACACUGGGACUGAGACACGGCCCAGACUCCUACGGGAGGCAGCAGUAGGGAAUCUUCCGCAAUGGACGAAAGUCUGACGGAGCAACGCCGCGUGAGCGAAGAAGGCCUUCGGGUCGUAAAGCUCUGUUGUCAGGGAAGAACAAGUAUCGGAGUAACUGCCGGUACCUUGACGGUACCUGACCAGAAAGUCACGGCUAACUACGUGCCAGCAGCCGCGGUAAUACGUAGGUGGCAAGCGUUGUCCGGAAUUAUUGGGCGUAAAGCGCGCGCAGGCGGUCCUUUAAGUCUGAUGUGAAAGCCCACGGCUCAACCGUGGAGGGUCAUUGGAAACUGGGGGACUUGAGUGCAGAAGAGGA
rnacentral:rRNA from 1 species